rnacentral:misc_RNA from 1 species
ACCGGGGUUUCUGAUGUCUAUUGCAUACUUGGAUCCUGGGAAUAUAGAGUCUGAUCUACAGUCAGGGGCAGCUGCACAGUUCAAGAUUCUGUGGGUACUGAUGUGGGCAACUAUCUUAGGCUUAAUGAUGCAAAGGCUGGCCGCAAGGUUGGGAACUGUGACCGGCCUUCACCUAGCCGAGAUCUGUUACAGACAAUAUCCGUUUAUACCGAGGAUACUUCUUUGGAUCUGUACAGAGAUUGCUAUCAUUGGUUCAGAUAUGCAGGAAGUAAUAGGAACAGCCAUCGCCCUCUAUUUGCUGUCCAAUAAAACUAUACCGUUGUGGGGAGGAGUACUCAUAACAGUCCUGGAUACUUUCACAUUUCUUGGACUAGAUAAAUACGGGUUGAGGAAACUAGAGGCAUUCUUCGCCUUCCUCAUCACUGUCAUGGCCUGGAGCUUUGGAUAUGAAUAUGUUGUUGCUAGUCCAAACCAGGCCGAGGUUGUGAAGGGUUUAGUUAUCCCCUGGUGCAGUGGAUGCGGGAGCAGAGAACUACUUCAGGCUGUUGGAGUUAUUGGUGCAGUUAUUAUGCCACACAAUCUCUACCUUCAUAGUGCUCUGGUCAAGUCAAGAGAUAUUGACAGAACUAAGAAGAAGGACGUGAAAGAAGCAAAUUUCUACUUUUUCAUCGAAGCUUCCAUUGCACUUUUCAUCAGUUUCCUGAUAAAUGUGUUUGUGGUUUCUGUAUUUGCUGAGGGGAUGUACGGUAAAACUAACGGUGAGGUUUAUGAGCUCUGUAUAGAGAGGAAUAACUCGCAUGCUGAUCAGUUUCCAAACAACAACCAGACUAUUCAAGCCAAUCUAUAUAAAGGUGGUGUAUUUCUUGGUUGUGAGUUUGGUGAGGCUGCCAUGUAUAUCUGGGCUCUAGGUAUUCUUGCAGCUGGGCAGAGUAGUACAAUGACGGGUACAUAUGCUGGGCAGUUUGCCAUGGAGGGUUUCCUGAAUCUACGGUGGUCUAAAUGGCAGCGAGUUCUUCUAACAAGAUCUAUUGCUAUACUUCCAACCUUUCUCAUCGCUUUCUUCGAUCAGAUAAAUGAUCUGUCUGGUAUGAAUGACCUGCUCAACUGUUUGAUGUCCUUAAUGUUACCCUUCGCUGUUAUACCCUGCAUAGCAUUCACGAGCAACCACAAGAUAAUGGGAGAUUUCAAGAACGGAUUGAUUUCUCAGAUUCUCUCUAUUCUGCUCUCUUGCCUGGUUAUCUCCGUCAAUAUAUACUUCAGUAUCUCCUAUCUGACAGGUUUGGGUAUUACACAUUGGGCGUUUAUCCUGUUCACUGUUGUUUGUGGUGUACUGUACCUCCUCUUCUGUGUCUAUCUGACAGUUGAUAUGUUGUUAUCUAUGGGAAGUAUGCAUGUUGGAGAGUUUGGAUUUGCUCAAACCUGGUUCAGUGUAUCCUCACAUCAUGAGUACUCAAGGCAUACUGAGGAUGAAGAUCAAUACAGAUCCAACAAUACUAUCUAAGUGGGGUGGAGAAGAUCUGAAGCGUCAACAAAGCAAGAAAAUCUUAAAUUUGAAAGUUACACAAUAAUUAUUGUUUUAUAUUUGAAACAUUGGUAGACAAGGUCCCAUUAAGGGAGCUUAAAACAAUACCAAAAAUAGCAUUCAUUGUCACAAAAUUCUAAAAGAUUAGCAGAUGUAUUAUUUCCACCUUUUUUCAUAAAAAAGUGUUUGAUCGAAAAUUUUAAAUUUAAAUUUUAUCUGUUCAAAAAAAAUUUGCACUUGGAACAAGGAAAGGAUUAAUUUUAAUCGAUGAAAGGGAGCUUUGUAUGAAAUAUAUAAGAAUAAUAUUCAAAAUGAAGUUUAGAACUAUGGGUUGGUUUUCAUAAAUACUUGUUUUCAACAAUCUAUAUUUUAAAUAUGAUGAAGGAAAACUUAAUAAAGAAAUUGAACAAAUGCUACAAACUAUAAUUUUCUGAUCCCAAUAUCAUUGAAACCUGAUUGAGUAAACCUUUAUUGAUGCAUUAGAAUACACAUCUUGAAGCAAAACAGAUCUACGACAUCGGGUUGCACAGAUAUAUGGUUAAGAUGAUUAUAUUUAGUAGUGUUUAGUUCAUUUGGUAAAUAAUUUGUCAUGACAUGUUUUAGUCAAAUGCUAAAUAUAAGAGAUUUUAAAAAUA